GACGAACGCUGGCGGCGUGCUUAACACAUGCAAGUCGAACGGAAAGGCGCUCCUUGCCGGGUUAUCGAAUGGCGAACGGGUGGGUAACACGUGGGAGAUCUGCCCUGCACUUGGGGAAACGCCUGGGAAACUGGGUCUAAUACCGGAAAGGAGACACUUUUAGUGUGAUGGUUGGAAAGUAUUUUCGGUGUAGGAUGAGCUCGCGGCCUAUCAGCUUGGUGGUGGGGUAAUGGCCUACCAAGGCGGCGACGGGUAGGCGGCCUGGUGGGGUGGGCGGCCACCUUGGGGCUGCGAGGCGGCCCAGACUCCUACUGGGGGCGGCAGUGGUGAGUAUUACUCAAUGGGCGCGAGCCUGCUGCAGCGACGCCGCGUUGUGGAUGACGGCCUUCGGGUUGUAAAAUCCUUUCUCUAGGGACGAAGCUUUUUGUGACGGUACCUAGAGAAGAAGCACCGGCUAACUACGUG
rnacentral:rRNA from 1 species